ACUGGGAUAGCUAGGUCAAAUGGUGGUCCCAUUCCAAUUUUUAUGAGAAAUUCCACACUAUUUUCCAAAGUAGUUACACCAAUUUGCAGUCCCACCAGCAAU
rnacentral:pre_miRNA from 1 species